rnacentral:lncRNA from 1 species
AAGCGAACACUCUCGGGCUCCAGGUUAUCAAACCUUACUUUUUUCAGAGCAACAAUUUUCUUUUGAUCAAGAUCACGAGCCCUAUAAACAUUACUGUAAGUUCCCUGGCCAAUCUGCAUUGCAAUAUGUUGUCAUCAAACUAUAAAUCAAAACCAGCCUCCAAGUGAAGUCAACCAAAGUGGGCAUUGGAGAAGGACAAAAAAUUGAAGAUAAAUCAUGGUAACUACUCACUAAAUAGAAUGAUCUGGAAAAAAUAGAAAGGGACUCCCCAAAAACAAAAACAAAAACAAAAACAAAAAAUGUAAAUAUUAGCAAAAUAGUAGUCAAAAAAGGGGAAGGAGAAAAGUAGUGAUGGGCACAAAAUUAGCUAAAAUUCCAAAAGUGCAGUAUCAGCUUAAUUUUAAAGAGAAGUAGCAUGCAUAAUCCAAGACCUAGUAAGCAGUCAAAUAUUACACAAGCAAACAUGCAUGUAUGCUUAAAACUGUUGAUACGCAUCAUAAUCCACAAAUUUCAAUCAUCUAAAAUCAUGCGCAUUAGUGUGCAAUAUCUUCAAGUUUCUUCAUACCUAGUGAGUUACACUCAAAUUACCCACCAAAGUUCAGUUCUCCCUAACAUUAACUGGUUUUCUAUAAGAACUAACUAUUACUCUGAACAUUAUUUGAACUCUGCAGAAGUAGAAUGGAUAGUUCUAUAAGAAUCUGAAUUCAUGGUGAUGCUUCUUGGAUGUUUCCCAGGCUAUACUUCACAUUCUUGAACAAAAUCCAAAAGUUAAAAUCAUAAUUUCAUCUAAGGAUAGAUUUGUAUUAUACACAUGUACCAUAAAUAACUCCAUAGAUAUAUGACCAGAAAUAAUUUUUUUUUAAGGAAACCUUGAGAGCUUAUGACACAAAGUUAGAGCUGUUUGGUAAAUGUUCCCUCUCUAGAUAACUUAUUAUCAUUCUUUAUCCAGAUACAAAACUGAUAAUAAAACUAUCAAGCAAUUACUAAUUCAUCACAACAGAAAAUUCAAAAAGGACAAUAUCGAUGUGCAAAUAAACACUAUAUGACAAUAUUUAUGCACCACAAUAAUCAGUGAAGGAACAUACUUUAUCCAGCUUCUCAAAGGAAUCCGCACGCCGUGGCACCCAUCCCCGGAUAGCUUCUCCAGCCACUGCAGCUAACCAGGCUGGCCACCCAGCAGCAACCUGCUCCCCUUCCGAAGCUUUUGGAAUACUACCCAUCCCUGGAUGAUGUU